AGACCCGUGCGAGAGACCGGUUAUAUAUUUCUUGGAUCGGAUUGAGAGUGUUGGGCGGGGUCAGACCUUGACCACGUAUAAAAGACACGUGGAGAAAGGAAAUGCCGGGCUAUGCUUCCCUUCAGGCCGUUCUUUCUAUCAACGUUACAAGUUCCACACUGAACACCGACAUCUUUAAAAUGGCACCACGAAGACAGUGCUGCGAGAUAUUUAACAGCG
rnacentral:misc_RNA from 1 species